rnacentral:rRNA from 1 species
GAUGAACGCUGGCGGCGUGCUUAACACAUGCAAGUCGAACGAAGCACCUCUCCCGAAGAUUGACACAGCUUGCUGUAGAUUGAUUCAUUUGAGGUGACUGAGUGGCGGACGGGUGAGUAACGCGUGGGUAACCUGCCUCAUAGAGGGGGACAACAGUUGGAAACGACUGCUAAUACCGCAUAGUAAGAAGAAUUCGCAUGUUUUCUUCUUGAAAGAUUUAUCGCUAUGAGAUGGACCCGCGUCUGAUUAGCUAGUUGGUAAGGUAACGGCUUACCAAGGCGGAGAACAGGAGCCGGCUUGGGGGAGGGACCGGCACAAUUGGGGCUGGGACACGGCCCAAACCCCUCCGGGGGGGAGAAGGGGGGAAAUUGGCACAAGGGGGGAAACCCGAAGGCAGCGGGGCCGGGUGGGGAAAGAAGUUUUUGGGUAGUUAAGGCUCUAACAGAAGGGAAGAUAAGGAGGGAACCUGACAAAAAAGCCCCGGCAAACUACGG